UCUUGAUUUUCAAACUCUAAAUUAAUGACUAUAUCAAAAUUUGCACCUUCGUUUUCUCAAUACCUUGCACCCAUCUUAUCAGAGAUGGCCCUGUUGUACAGUCUGUUUGCCAGUCAAAUUGAUCCCUCAGUUUCACUUAUGAUAAUAUAACACCAUCUACCGAUUUACUAUCAAAUUUCUCAUUAGAUUAUUUAACUCAUAUUUAUUAUCACUUGAGUUCUACGCUUAUACACUGGAUUUCUAGUGGGAAAUCGACGGGCUGGGGGGAGUGAAAAAAUGAUUCCCAAAUGUUUCU